rnacentral:tRNA from 2 species
UGCCAUAGCUCAGUCGGUAGAGCAAAGGACUGAAAAUCCUUGUGUCCCCGGUUCGAUUCCUGGUGGCAC